CAAGACAACUUUACGGAGUUGACGAUUGACGGAGCGAAGCGACGUCAAAGCGUUCAUUAAAGUCGAGUUGGCUUAGGGAUACGUUCGUUGGGUAGGGGAGCGUUCUGUAAGCCUGUGAAGGUGUGUCGUGAGGCAUGCUGGAGGUAUCAGAAGUGCGAAUGCUGACAUAAGUAACGAUAAAGCGGGUGAAAAGCCCGCUCGCCGGAAGACCAAGGGUUCCUGUCCAACGUUAAUCGGGGCAGGGUGAGUCGACCCCUAAGGCGAGGCCGAAAGGCGUAGUCGAUGGGAAACGGGUUAAUAUUCCCGUACUUGGUGUUACUGCGAAGGGGGGACGGAGAAGGCUAUGUUGGCCGGGCGACGGUUGUCCCGGUUUAAGCGUGUAGGUGUGUGUUCCAGGUAAAUCCGGUUCACUUUAACACUGAGGCGUGACGACGAGGCACUACGGUGCUGAAGCAACAAAUGCCCUGCUUCCAGGAAAAGCCUCUAAGCAUCAGGUAACAUCAAAUCGUACCCCAAACCGACACAGGUGGUCAGGUAGAGAAUACCAAGGCGCUUGAGAGAACUCGGGUGAAGGAACUAGGCAAAAUGGUGCCGUAACUUCGGGAGAAGGCACGCUGACACGUAGGUGAAGUGAUUUACUCAUGGAGCUGAAGUCAGUCGAAGAUACCAGCUGGCUGCAACUGUUUAUUAAAAACACAGCACUGUGCAAACACGAAAGUGGACGUAUACGGUGUGACGCCUGCCCGGUGCCGGAA
rnacentral:rRNA from 1 species